rnacentral:rRNA from 1 species
AGAGUUUGAUCCUGGCUCAGAACGAACGCUGGCGGCAGGCUUAACACAUGCAAGUCGAGCGCCCCGCAAGGGGAGCGGCAGACGGGUGAGUAACGCGUGGGAACGUACCUUUGGCUACGGAAUAACUCAGGGAAACUUGUGCUAAUACCGUAUGUGCCCUUCGGGGAAAGAUUUAUCGGCAAAGGAUCGGCCCGCGUUGGAUUAGCUAGUUGGUGAGGUAAAGGCUCACCAAGGCGACGAUCCAUAGCUGGUCUGAGAGGAUGAUCAGCCACACUGGGACUGAGACACGGCCCAGACUCCUACGGGAGGCAGCAGUGGGGAAUAUUGGACAAUGGGCGCAAGCCUGAUCCAGCCAUGCCGCGUGAGUGAUGAAGGCCCUAGGGUUGUAAAGCUCUUUCACCGGUGAAGAUAAUGACGGUAGACCGGAGAAGAAGCCCCGGCUAACUUCGUGCCAGCAGCCGCGGUAAUACGAAGGGGGCUAGCGUUGUUCGGAACUGGGCGUAAAGCGCACGUAGGCGGACUUUAAGUCAGGGUGAAAUCCCGGGGCUCAACCCCGGAACUGCCUUUGAUACUGGAGUCUGAGUAUGGUAGAGUGAGUGGAAUGCGAGUGUAGAGGUGAAAUUCGUACAUAUCGAGGAACACCAGUGCGAGCGGCUCACUGACUUACUGACGCUGAGCGAAAGCGUGGGAGCCAGCAGGAUAGCCCGGUGUUCACGCCGUAAGUACCGUGGAAG